rnacentral:lncRNA from 1 species
GAGACAGCUAGUUGGCAUAGUGGAUAGAGCACCGGCCCUGGAGUCAGGAGGACCCGAAUUCAAAUCCGGUCUCAGACACUUGCUGGUUGUGUGACCCUGGGCAAGUCACUUAAUCCCAAUCACCUCACAAAAACAAAGAAAAACAAUAUCAGUUACGAUCCCGAGAAAUUUUAUUUCAAAUAGCAAGUCUCAUCAGUCAGAACUUCAGGUGGGUUCAGCUCUCAAGGAUCACAUGCCCCUAAAUAAUAAGCAUUGGCAGUAAGAGAUUCAUCCCAGAAAAUUCACAACUUAUCUUGAAGCUAAGUAAAUGAUUUUAAAUUCAACAUUAUACAAAUGAUACUCAAUAACAACCAGACUUGGGAUAUAGAAAUGUAAAAAUUAUAAAUCGUCUUAAAAAAAAAAAAAACUCCAAAUGUUUACUUAUUAACUAUGUUCAAAGGAACAUAAACAUACACUACUACUCCCAGAAUCCCUUUAAACAAUAAGAACAUCUUUAUGGUGACGCAAUACAACUGAUUAAAUUAGCCUUAGCACUAUAACAAAGUUUACCAGGUCUCACACACAUAAGAGAUUUCACUUAACAUCUUUAUUUUUCUUUUCUUCUUCUCCUAGAGUUUAAACUAAUCCUGGUGAAGACCAAUCAUUAGAAAUCUCUUCCAUAAAACAAAGACAUUUGCAAAUCUUUAUAUCAAGCCAAGCUCACUGUUUAGGAACCCCAUAACCUUAACUAUCUCAUUUCUCAGGGUUGAUGACCCUCACUCACAUGAUGCUUUAAAGAAAUCUGCAAGUUUAUAAAUUAAGGAAAAUCAACAGGGAACCCAGAGAAGGGGUCUGAACCUGCUGUUCUUGCACACCCAUGACAGCUGCUAUGGCUUGUGCUCUUUGACACUUCCCUUACCCUGUGAGGGGGUGUGGAGGUUAGACUAAUUCUUCAGUAGACUUUUGUACCCCAAGUUGAAGUGCUUUGAAUGAGAAGCAAUCACCAAUAUUAGAUUUUACAUUAUUACAACAAAUCCAAGUAACUUAAUUAACAAUCUUAUAAUUUUCUUAAGUGAUAAAUAUAUUGUCUUAGCAGUAACUUACUCUAAACUUACAAGCAAAGGUGAAACUAUCCAAUUUCCUAAAUUGCAUUUACAAAACAGAUUAACAGGGUUGACAAAAUAACACAACAGGUUUUAAACAAAUUUUCCACUUUCAUUUAAUUAUACAAUUCGUAACAUUCAAGUUGCUGGGUGACGAGUCAAAUCUGGGUUCUACAAUCUCAAAGAUUCAAUUGGGGGGCUUUCUUCUUUUUCCCAAGCUAUUGUAACUUUGGAAGUUCUCAGGAGGGAUUGGGCUUCCCUCUCCUGUUCCCUUAAUUGUUUUCCUUUUUUUUUUUUUUAAGGAAGAAAACAAAAUGAUUCUUAAAAUUCAGAUAAAUUGUAAUCUAUGACAAAACUGGGGAGGGAUCUUAUCAUUUACAAUCAAGUUUUGACUUUUAACACACAUACUAAUGUAAAAAAUUAUUUUAAAAUUGACCAGUACUUUAAUUUGUAAGAUCCCUAAAUUAUAGCUAAAUGUUCUGAUCACACCUUUUGGCCGUUUGCCAAUUCACACAGGCAUUUUCUCUCUCUCUCUCUCUCUUUUUUUUUUGUGAGCCAGGAAAGGGCUUAAGUAUCAGUUCUUAUUUCAGAGAGAGGUCUUCACCCUGGAAUUUUCACCGAUAGCCCCCUAAAUCUGCCUCUUGAUUUUCUUUCUCUUUCCUGUCCACCAGCCCCUGCUGCAGUCAGAGGGGGAGAGAGGAGGAGAAGGAGAAAGAGACUCUCUUUCCUCUAUGCCCUAUCUCUUCCUAUGCCUCGGGAACCCAGGUUGGGAUUCCAUUAAUCACCAACCUUCAUUUACUUGAAUGUACUUCCAAAUUACCUCACACAGAAAAUCAUUUAUCUCAACACUGGUAAUAUAUGUUGGUCACAUCUAAAAACCCACAUAAAGUUAUCAAGUAUGAAGCAAUCACAUCAAAUAAAAGACAUAAUGAAAACAGUUAACAUUCAUAGAGCACUUGCACGGGCAAGCACUUUACAGUCAUGUGAACCUCACAAAAACCCUGGGACGUGGGGUUCAGUUAUUAUCCCCUUACAGAACAAAGUGACUUAUGUUCCUGCUGGAACAGUAGCUGGACUUCCAGCUACGCAGAAACCCCAUUAUUAGAUUACAGAAGACAUGAUUCACUACUUAAUACUUUUUAAAAAAUUUCUUUCAAAAUUAAAACCAUAUUUGCCCUCCUUUUUGUUCUGUUUCUUUUUUCAAAUCCUGAUUUCGUACUAGGGCAAAUAAGAGAUAACAUAGCUAAUAAAUCACUGCAACAUGGAGGGAUGGCCUUACCAAGGACAGACUGGCUGGCUCCCCCACCUCACACACACACUAGGUGCUGCCAGGAAUACCUGGAUUCUCCCAAACAGCAGCUGGGUGGAACCUGCUGAGGGCUGCGGUGGGCGGUGCCAGAAUCUCCCUUUGGCGGUAGUUCCAGGUGUCGGGGAUCAGAGAAUGCUGACCGUGAGAUCCGACCCGACUUCCUGCCCAGUUGCAGGUGCUGGAGUUGGGGAGCUACUAGGGCAGGAAGCGUGAGGCCCUGUUGUGGUUACUGCCUCCCUCGUUUCUACCAGGUGAGGCAUAAUUUAAGUUUCUCUCCAAUUCUCCAGCAUUCUCUUUUCCUAAUCGAGUAAGAGAUGAGAGGGUUUAAGAGAGGGACAUGGGCUGUAAUGAUUUUAAUUUGGUCAGUUUCUUUUCAAAUCUUUUUCAACUUUUGCAAGAUCUAAUCCUUAUUUUUCCUUAAGAAAAAUGGUACAGAACGGUACCUCAAAUUUUAUUAAGAUGUUUCAGAAGGAGGUGAAUUCCUGGAAUCAUCCCAUAGUCAAAGGAAUUCUUUCCCGUAAUCUUAAAGUUUCUAAUUGUCAGUUUCCUUAAUCGCAAAACCUCCAAUAUUUGCUAAGAUGUACGGCCCUCCAACUUUAAUUAUAGAGCUUUAUUUCUGUCGCCUCAACUUUGCUACUGUUGGGACCACAGAAGACUUUUUCUUUUUUGGGAGAAGUUAGUAAGGUUAAUAAAUUUUUCCCAGUGUUCUAAGUGUAGCCCUUAGAAGUUUUUUCUCCCUUUCAUUGGCUUCAUUUGAAAUCUUUCAAGGUAACAGAAUCUAUCUCACAGCACAAACAUGACAAAGACCUCUGCAAACACAGAGACACAGACGUAGACAGAACAACAAAACAUUCAAUUAAAAUACCAAUUUAAAAAGAAAAACAUGAGAAACCUUUUGACAGGCCAUUUUCUCCCGAUCCUCCAGGGUAGACUGAGGCCAGGCAGUGUUACAAAAGAAAAUGAGCCUUGUCUUUUUGAGAUCGUAUAGGCCAAAUUUGUCUCUGCUUUUUUAGGGAUGGGAAUGGACUGUCCCAUUUUUGCCACAAGCCCUAAAGAGUUUCUAUUCCUAUAGCAACUCAUCUCCCUUGGUUUCCCAGGGAAGGUGAACAGUGGCAAAUGUGCCCAAACCAAAAGUACCCCUAAGAUCAGGUAUCCCUAACCAAGGAAAGCAUGCUGAGCAUAAAACUUACUGAUGACCUCAAUAAGUCUUCUUGGAUGCUAGUCCUAGCUAUAGGAUAGAAGGAGGAAAAGAAAAAGUGGAGGAGGCAAAGAAAGCUAGACUUUUCCCCUUAUGGGCCACCAAAUGUUGGGGUGCAGGAGCACUCCACAAUAUCGGAGUGCUGGGCCGGUGUCAUGAGAUAACUCAAAAGAAUCACCUCCAAAUUAAGAGGCAAAGAUUGUAACACCACUGAUGGUAGAAUAAGCUCCAAGAGGGAAUUAGCAAAGAAAUGGGGGGAUAAGGAGGGACUUUUAUAGGAAAAGUAAACCAGGUGCUUUAUGUCGCUGAUCUUAGAGGUAAAGUUGGGGAGUGGUUAGCCUAGGCAUCUCACUCCAGGCACCCCGAUAUAGCUGGUAAUAAAAUGUAAACUAAGACAAAAUUAUCUAAAGGCAAAUACAGUAUUCUUAAAUCGGAUAACUUGGAACCUAGACUAUAUCAUUCCCAAGGCCUGUAUUCCUAAGGCGAUUAUUUACUGGACCAGGUAGCCUGGUGAUUACGAUCAUAUCAAGAUUAAUAAAUUUGAAAACAAAACAAAACAAUCCACUGAACUAAUUAAGAAAACUAGAAGUUGGUUUUAUGGGAAAGUUCCCCAAUAAAAUAGACAAAUCAUUAGUUAAUUUUAAAAAAAGAAAGAAAAAACCCAAGUUACUAGUAAUAAAAAGGAAACGGAUGAAUUCACCACCAAUGAAGGUAAAAUUAAAGCAAUCAUCAGGGAUAUUCUGUUCAAAAGAUUUUGUCAAGAAAUCUGACAAUCUAAGUAGAUGAAUAUUUACGAAAACUUAAGUUGCCCAGAUUGACAGAAGAGGAAAUAGAAAAAAAAUAGAAAAAGAAGAGAAAAUACCUAAAUAAUCCUAUCUUAGAGAAAGAAAUAGAACAAGCCAUAAAUGAGCUCUUUAAGAAAAAAUACCCAGGACCAGAUGGAUUCACAAGCAAAUUCUACUAAACACUUAAAGAACAAUCCUACUACGCUAUAAACUGUCUGGAAAAAUAGGCAAAGGAGUCUAAGAUACAAAUGUUACUUAUUUCUAAACCAGGAAGGGGGAAAAUACAGAGAGAAAACUACAGAGCAAUUUUCCUAAUGGAUAUUGUUGCGAAAAGUUUUAAAUAAAAUGUUGCAGUUGUUUGUUCAUUCCGGGGAAAAAAACCAAAGGAUAUUACCAGGGUGAUGUCUGAACUUGUGUGUGAAUUGGAUUGAAGUGAGAUUGAGCAGUAGUCCUCAGGCUGACUCCUCCAGUCUUUGAAGUCCAGUGAUAAAACAAAAAUCAAGACACUGGAGAUAGCCAGAACUAUGGUGGAUGAUCGUGGCCUUUCUAAAUCAAGUCUUCUCACAUCAUAGUUUGUCUGAGGCUACUUCUACUCAAUGGUUAAGGACUGGAUAAGCAGUGAGACAAAAGAAGGCCUAAUUUGCCAUCCCAACAAUAUCAAUAUGGGAGGGGAAGACCCUCAGAAAGCUAUUUAUACUCUUUUUAGGCCAUGAAAACCUAAACAAUGAGCCGCGAAGAUUUGAGCAAAGUAUAAAAAAGCUCAUAGCAACUCUCUUUAUGGUGUCAAAAGAAUUGAAAAUCAAGAGACCUCCCAGUGACUGGGGAAUGGCUGAACAAGCUGUGGCAUACGAUUGUGAUGGACUAUUACCGUGCCAUGAGAAAUGAUGAGCAGGAUACCUUCAGAAAAAUCUGGGAAGACCUAUGUGAACUGAUGCACAGUGAAUUGAGCAGAGAAAUAGGAGAACUUCGUACAGCAAGAUUGUGUGAUGAUCAGCUGGGAAUAGUUUAGCUACUCUCAGCAAUAUAACGAUCCAAAACAAUUCCAAAAAAUUCAUGAUGGAAAAUGUUAUCCAUCUCCAGAGGAAGAACUGAUGGAGCAAGAGUCUGAAUUCAGAGUGAAGCAUACUUUGAAAAAAAUCAAAGGAUUUUAUUUUUCUUGGGGUUCUUUUUUUUUUUUUUUUUUUUUUUUUUUUUUUUUUUUUUUUUGGUCUGUUUUCUUUUGCAAGAUGGCUAAUAUGGAAAUAUAUUUUGUAUGACAGCACAUGUAUAAUCUAUAUCUAAUUGCUUGCCAUCUCAGGAUAGAGAAAGGAGAGUAAGAGAAAGAAUUUGAAAGGCAAAACUUUUUUAAAAGCAGGUUAAAAUUGUUCUUACAUGUAAUUUGAAAAAAUAAUACCAAAAAUUACAAAUACUGUUGGGGAAAUCAAAGCAAUGAGCUAAAAUUAGAAGAGAGAAAGGUAACCAGGGAAAUUUUUUGGUAACAAGUUUCUCUGAUAAAGAUUUCACUUUCAAAAUCUUUAAGCCAUUCUUCAAGAUAAACAAAGGAUAUUCAAGCUAGCAACAGGCACGUGAAAAAGGCUCUAAAUUACUAUUAAUUAGACAAAUUCAAAUGAAAAUAACAGUUCCUGCUUCACAGGUAUUGGAUCUGUGAAGAUGAAAAAAGCAGAAAAUGACAAAUGUUGGAAGGACUAUGGGAAAAUGAUCACAUUAAUGCCUUAUUGGUAGAGCUAUGGAUCAAAAGACCUAUCAUUUUAGAAAUCAAUUUGGAAAUUAUGUCCAAAAAGUCUCUAAACUGCAUAUCCCUUGAACCAUAAAUAUUACCCCAAAGAGAUCAAAUAAGAAAUAUAUCUACAAUGGACAAAAAUGUUUCUAGAAGCUCUUUUAGUACUGGCAUAGAACCAGACACUGAACGGAUGCCCCUCUUGGGAAUGGAUAGAUAAAUCAUUAUAUACAAAUGUAAUGGAAAAACUAUUGUACUUUAGGAAAUUAUAAAAAGGCACGAUGGUCUCAAAAAAUCUUGGAAGACUUAUAUAAACCGACACAGAGAGAAGUAAGCAGAACCAGGAGAGUGAUCUAUUCAAAGACAACCCUGUAAAAACAAACGACUCUGGGUGACUGAAGAAUCUGACUGAUGAAAUAACCAAUAGGUAUUCCAGAAGACUGGUGAUGAAAUAUGUCACCCACUUCUGCACAGUAAGGUGUUAGAAUCAGGGUAUUGAACGAGACACAUUUUUGGACACAGCCAAUGGAGGAAUCUGUAUUGCUUGACUAGGCAGUUGUUAUGAGGGAUUGGUUUCUGUGUUUUUUUGGGUUUGUUUUUUUUUUUUGCAGUGCAGUGGGGGUAGGUGUAAAGGAGAGAAAAUAAAUGAUUGUAAGAAGUAAAUAAUAUGUGGAACAAGGGAAAAAUAAAAGUGUGGGGAAGUAUAAAUAUAGGAUUGAAGAGAAGGAAAUUGGAUCAUGGUUUGGGAGAGUAACAGAUAUGAAGGCAAUUUUUUUUUUUUUUUUUUAAGGAUGGGAUAUGACCAGAACAUUGUAGACAUUCAGAAAGGAAGUGGUCAAGAGGGAGAGACAGAAGAUGAAAGAAAGAGAGAAAGCCAUUCUCUGAGCCCUAGGUGGGAGAGGAACUGAGAUCAAGGGGACAGAUCAAGGAGGUUAGCUACUUCUUGCCCAGAGGCAGAAGAGAAUGAAGAGAGGGUAGACGAAGGUUAGCUAAGAGAGCUUCCACUGAAUGCCUUCCUUUUCCACAGGAAAGCAGAACAGGAAGUCACCUGCUGAGAGCCAGGGGAUUUGGGAGUCUGGGGAAGGGGGCAUAAAGCUGAGAAAUAAUGCUGCUGGUAGAGAGGCCCAGCUGGAUGGCAUGGAUUUGGAGUCAAUUCAGUUGAGGCAGUCUCAAGACUUUCUUCAGAACCACUUAGGAGUCCAGAACAAGAAUGCAGUUUGAUAAGGUGGCUACAAUGGAAAGAGAGAUUGUGGAUUUCAAAGAGAAAGGCAAAUGUGAGAAGCUCAACUCGGCAAACGUUUACUACGUGUGCCAGGCGCUGAGGUGUUCUAAAAAUAGUCCCUGCCUUAACCGAGCGCCCUUUCCAUGGAGGAAUACAACAUGUAUGCAAGAUGAGCAAAUAUAAGGUAGUUUCAAGAGGGACAGAGCAACAACAACUGCAGGAAUCCGGGAAGGCCUUACUUAGGAGGUUGGCAGCUGAACUGAAUCUUGAAAGAAGUAGGGAUUCUAAGAGGUAAGGAAAGAGUGUCUCAGACAUGGGUACAGCCUCUGCAAAGGGGAGGAGGAAGGAGAUGAAAUGUCCACUUUGGGGGAAAGGGAGUUGUUCAGUUUGGCUGGAAUGUGGAUUGGGCAAAAAGAAGCAGUACCAAAUUCGGCGGUAAAGAGAGACUGAGGAGUAUGUAGUUUCUCCUAGAGACAACAGGAAGCCACUUCAGGAUUUUUUUUUUUUUUUUUUUUUAAAGUAUGAGAGUGACAUAAUCAGACUUGUGUUUUAGGAAUAUUAACUUGGAAGUAAUGUAAAGGAUAGAUUAGAAAAGGGAAAGACUGAUUGUGGAGGAAAAGAGAGAAGAAACAAGAGCUUUAUAGUCCAGAGUUAGGUUUGCCUCUUAAUACAAUGGAUUUUGUCAAAGGAUGGCAGGGCCAUAGAAAGUUCUCUGGAUCUGAAGCCAAAUGCCCUGAGUUCAGCUUCUGAUUCUGAUGCUUACUAAUUGUGAGAACCUGGGCAAGCCACUUUUCCUCUCUCGGUCUCGUCUGUCUAGAUAAUUUCAAGGGUCCCAUCAGAUAGCCUCGAAGGUCCCACCAGAUGGCCUCGAAGAUCCCUUCCAAUUCUAAAUCUGCAGUUGUAGAAUUCCUUAAAUUCAUAGCCUAUGGAAAAGAAACAUAGAAUUUGCUUUGGAAAUAGUUCCAUAAAGAAAAAAAAAGCAACAGAUUAAAAAUUCUAACAUUCAAGACACUGUUUGUUACCCUUUUGACCAUUGCCGAAUUACUAAGGAGCCUAACCGUUUGCAGAUGGUCAGCCACUUACCAUCUUCUUGUCUUUCUGGUCUUCCUAGAUCUACAGAAAUUGAACAAAUCAAGGCUGUUUUUCUACUGAAAAGAUGGAACUGAACAGUUUAGAAAGGAAGACCCGCGACUUCUUCACAAGCCCACGAAAGAAUGCUCCCAAGCACUAAGAAGAAGAGAAAUGCAAUUACAGGGUAACAAUUCCUAGUUCGAAAUAAACAUGGGAAAAAUUCACAAAAGCUAUUCUCUUUGCCAAAAGGUAAGUUUAUUUGGGAGAAGACAGACAAAAUAAGAGCUAAAAGAAGACACAAGAAGUGGCAAAUCGGAAAUAGAUUUGGGAGCGUGCUAGGGUUACCGAGGAAGGGACCAAGCAAAGGAGUUUGGAAGAAUCCAUUAAAGGUGGGAGAACGCUAACGACUGGCAGGUUAAAUCCAGAGCAGACUAACCAGAGUUAGCUACAUAGUAAGGAGAAAGACGCCAGUGAAGGGAAGCCGCUAGGAGGGGGAGAGAGAGAGUACCUCGUAGUGGGCUUAGUUCUACACAAAGAUCUUCACCAUGCGUACUUGUAUUUAUAGGGAAAAUACAACCUUAGGGGUUUCUCAAAGGAAGAGGAGAAGUGCCAGGAAGCUCAGGGGGAAGGAUCAAGAGGGAGCCAGAUGGAAUAGGUGGCAUAUCAGGUCCCAGACCUGUCUCAAAGAUGCUAAUCGAUAUCUCAAAGGUUGGUUAAAGCCACUCAGAGCCCAGGGGAUGGACAAUGGAGGAUGACAAAGAUUUCCAUCUUCACCAUCCCGCUACACAACCAGGAGAGUCUGGGAAUUGGCUAUGCCGGAUAAUAGCCACAUGGGCUUCUUCCUGACUAGGGGAAGAGAGUAAGUCCCCAUCACAAAGAACCCCGAGGUUUCCCCGACACUCUGAAAGUUAUCAGAUGGCAAAAAUGACAAGUCAGGCUUGAAGGAGGUGGGGCAGCAUCGGCAGACUAGCGCACUGCUGGGGGGGGUAUGAGAUGGUACGAUUAUUUUGGAAAGCAAUCUGGAAUAAUGCAAAUAAAAUAACCACACUAUCCAUACCCCUUUGAUUUGCAGACGCCAUUACUGGACUUCUACUCCAAGGAAGCCACCAAUAGGAAGAAAGCCCUCAUACGCAGCAAGAAUUAUGGAAGCAUUUUCUGUGAUAGCAAAGAAGCGGAAUCGAAAUGGCUAGACGAAGCGCGGUCCGUGAAUGGAAUGGAACACGGCUGUGUUCUAAGAAAUGAUGUGUGUGAUGACCACAGAGAAGCCUAGAAAGAUCUCCCUGAAUCAACGUGGAGGAGAAAACGAAGCCCACGGCAACUACAAUUCUGCAAACGGCAAGAACACCGCCACACCCGAGAAUAAAGGGAAUGUAGCGAGGUGAUAAAAUCAGGCCGGACUCAAAUGGAGAGAUAUGAGAAGCCCCUUCCAGGACAGCAUCCAGAUGUGGAGAUGGAGGAAGGAGCUGCAGCAUCUGAGCCCACCACUUCCCGCUUGGAAAAUGAAGCUACUGAAGACUAACUCAAGAGCAGAAGCAAGUCCUGGCUAAUAAGUACUUCAGGAAGAGCUCGGGGCUCAAGAAAC